CUACGGGUUGCUCCAGUGGGGAAUAUUGGACAAUGGGCGCAAGCCUGAUCCAGCAAUGCCGCGUGAGUGAAGACGGCCUUAGGGUUGUAAAACUCUUUCGCUAGGGAAGAUAAUGACUGUACCUAGUAAAGAAGUCCCGGCUAACUCCGUGCCAGCAGCCGCGGUAAUACGGAGGGGACUAGCGUUGUUCGGAAUUACUGGGCGUAAAGAGUUCGUAGGCGGACUGACAAGUUAGAGGUGAAAUCCCAGGGCUCAACCCUGGAACUGCCUUUAAAACUGUCAGUCUAGAGACCGGAAGAGGGUAGGGGAAUACCUAGUGUAGAGGUGAAAUUCGUAGAUAGUAGGUGGAACACCAGUGGCGAAGGCGCCUAACUGGUCCGGUACUGACGCUGAGGAACGAAAGCGUGGGGAGCAAACAGGAUUAGAUACCCCGGUAGUC
rnacentral:rRNA from 1 species